rnacentral:lncRNA from 1 species
GUUGCAACAGACUGCAUAACAUUAGGUUGCAGCAGACAGCAUAACAUUAGGUUGCAGCAGAUCAUAACAUUAGGUUGCAGCAGAACAACAUAACAUUAGGUUGCAGCAGACAGCAUAACAUUAGGUUGCAUCAAAACAGCAUAACAUUAGGUUGGAGCAGACAGCAUAACAUUAGGUUGGAGCAGAUAGCAUAACAUUAGGUUGCAGCAGAUCAUAACAUUAGGUUGCAUCAGUUCAGCAUAACAUUAGGUUGCAGCAGACCGCAUAACAUUAGGUUGCAGCAGACCGCAUAACAUUAGGUUGCAUCAGACAGCAUAACAUUUAGGUUGCAUCAGUUCAGCAUAACAUUAGGUUGCAUCAGACAGCAUAACAUUAGGUUGCAUCAGAUCAUAACAUUAGGUUGCAUCAGAUCAUAACAUUAGGUUGCAUCAGACAGCAUAACAUUAGGUUGCAUCAGAUCAUAACAUUAGGUUGCAUCAGACAGCAUAACAUUAGGUUGCAUCAGAUCAUAACAUUAGGUUGCAUCAGUUUCAGCAUAACAUUUAGGUUGCAUCAGACAACAUAACAUUAGGUUGCAUCAGACAGCAUAACUUUAGGUUGCAUUAGAUCAGCAUAACAUUAGGUUGCAUCAGAUCAGCAUAACAUUAGGUUGCAUCAGAAAGCAUAACAUUAGGUUGCAGGAGAUAGCAUAACAUUAGGUUGCAUCAGAUCAGCAUAACAUUAGGUUGCAUCAGAAAGCAUAACAUUAGGUUGCAGCAAGACUCAUAUGUCUGAUGAUGAAAGGGAAAUCCCAGUCUAGUUUCAUAAAAAUUAUGGUUAAUGCUGUCUCUUUUUCUCUCUUUCCCCCUCUCUUUCUCUCUCUCCCCCUCUCUCUCCCUCUCUCUCUCUCUCUCUCUCUCCUUCUCUCUCUCCCCCUCUCUCUCACUUUCACUCUCUCUCCCUCUCUCUCCCCCUCUCUCGUUUUGUGAUUAUAAAACAUUGUUUAGAAGAAGGCGAAGUUAUUUAACAAGGUUAGUAGGUGACUCAGCCGUGACACUUAUUCUAAUGAGAAAAUCAUUUAAAAUAAGAGAUAUCCCUCAAUACGAGACUGACAAUAUAUCUCAUUCUAUUUAGGCUUUUUCCCUCAAAACCAGAGUGACAAUAUAUCUCAUUCUAUUUAGGCUUUUUCCCUCAAAACCAGAGUGACAAUAUAUCUCAUUCUAUUUAGGCUUUUUCCCUCAAAACCAGAGUGACAAUAUAUCUCAUUCUAUUUAGGCUUUUUCCCUCAAAACCAGAGUGACAAUAUAUCUCAUUCUAUUUAGGCUUUUUCCCUCAAUACCUGAGUGACAAUAUAUAUCAUUCUAUUUACGCUUAAUCCCUCAAAACCAGAGUGACUGUAAGGGUCCUG